ensembl:lncRNA novel transcript
UUUCUUAAGUGAAGCACCUCCAUCUCUUUGUCGGUGGUAUUAACUCCAGCAGUCUAGAAGAGACAACGGAAGCAAAAUGGACAAGCACAGGACAUGAGACCUCUAAGAGACGCAGAGCAAGGGAAGGAGACAGAAAGAAGGGGGACUAGAGGAAGAAAUGCUCCCUGACAUCUUCUUUGCAACAAGGAACAAACGAAAACCACCAGGCAGCAAAACCUGUUAGAGGAAGAGGGUGAGACCCUGAGGGAAGAACUCCGGCAGACCUGAGAAGACGAUGGCUGGUUACGACCCUUCACCAGAUGCUGGCAGCCACUGGCCCAUCCGAGCAUGCGGGCGGUGAGCGGCAUGGAGAAAUGGGGCCGGCGGGCAGGGGCUGUUUGGUUUCAGAUAAGAAAAGUGAGGCUCAAAAGGGAGAAGUGACCUGCUCAAGGUGACAAAGCCAAGAAGUGCCAAUCGCUAUCCUGACUCUGCCCCUAAGAAACCUGGACACCCCGGCUGUGUUCUCCAAGCCUGGCUCUUCCCACUAAACUCAUU